rnacentral:rRNA from 1 species
AUGCAUUGGUACACUUGAUGGAAACUUUGCUAUCCAAAAAAUGAAGGUGGGAUGGGCUUUAGGGAUCUCCACUCUUUCAAUUUGGCAAUGCUCUCGAAACAAGGUUGGCGACUUAUCACCAACCCAGAUUCUCUUUGUGCUCGAGUUUUGAAAGCAAAAUAUUAUCCAAAUGUAAAUUUACUCCAAGCAACACUGAAAAACGGAGCAUCAUUUACAUGGCAAAGUAUUAUGAAGGGGUUAGAAACUUUUAAAUUGGGAUAUAUAUGGCGCAUCGGAACUGGAGAGAAUGUGAAUAUAUGGAGUGAUCCUUGGGUGCCAGCCAGCCCGGAUAGGAAGGUUAUCUCAAACCGAGGUCAAACUAUUCUCUCGGUCGUCAGUGAUCUCAUUGACCCUCAUACGGGAGCAUGGGACGAGCCCCUGAUCCGUUCUAUUUUUAAUCCUGUCGACGCCAGAAGAAUCAUGCAAAUCCCAAUUAAUCACAAUGCAUUUGAUGAUUUUAUUUCCUGGAACCCAGAUCGGAGGGGUAUUUUUUCAGUUCGUUCGGCGUACCGCUUACAAUGA